rnacentral:tRNA from 1 species
AGAGAGGUCUCAGAAUUGGAAGAUGGUUACCUGAAACGCGUAAAGCUUUGAGGGUUCGAAUCCCUCCCUCUCUA